UCAAACUGCUGCUGUUAAAGAUAAUAUGUGGAAUAUUUGUGUUGUUGUUGCUGCUCAGAGUAGUAAAAAGCAGCUAGCUGAGGAGGCUAACGCGGCUAGCUUAGCGGAGACGACGGAGACGCAGACGAACCGCCAGAAAAGAUGUCGGCAGCGUUAGAAAGUGACGGACUCCGUGGGUUCAGACCAUCUGCUGCAGGACUCCUGGUUCUUCAGUUCUUUCUGACUGUCGAUGUUUUGACUUGCUGUUCAGCUCCAAAAUGAAUCCAUGACCAUCCGACGCCUCCUGAUGGUGAUGGAGAACAAUCUCAUGUGCACCACCCUGCCACUUUUCCACCUGUAUAAAAACUAUCCUACCAAGUACUGAAGUACUGAAAUACAAAAAAAUCCUGGCUUUAUCCUGAA